rnacentral:misc_RNA from 1 species
GAAACGGCGGACCAAGUCAGGGCAGCUUGUCCAACGUUGCUCCUUGGAUAACUACUGUUGGUGCUGGAACACUAGACCGAGAUUUUCCAGCCUAUGUAACCCUUGGAAAUGGGAAGAAUUACUCAGGCGCAUCACUUUAUAGUGGAAAGCCAUUAUCUGAUUCACUGGUGCCAGUGGUUUAUGCUGGUAAUGCGAGUAGUUCAACGAGUGGUUAUCUCUGUAUGUCAGGCACGUUGAGUCCUGCAAAAGUUGCUGGGAAAAUUGUGAUAUGUGAUCGAGGGGGGAACAGUCGGGUGCAAAAGGGAUUGGAGGUGAAACAUGCUGGUGGCUUAGGGAUGAUUUUAGCAAACACAGAUUUGUAUGGGGAAGAGCUAGUUGCAGACGCACAUCUUUUACCAACAGCAGCCGUAGGACAAAGCAGCGGGGAUGCCAUCAAGAAUUAUGCCUUCUCUGAUCCUAAGCCAGUUGCCACAAUUGCUUCUGGAGUCACACAUCUAGGAGUUGAGCCUUCACCAGUGGUAGCCGCAUUCAGUUCUAGAGGCCCAAAUCUGGUCACCCCAGAGGUAAUGAAACCAGACUUGAUAGCUCCAGGAGUGAACAUACUAGCUGGAUGGACAGGUGCAGUUGGUCCAACUGGGCUAACCGAUGACUCCAGGCGGGUAAGCUUCAAUAUCAUUUCUGGUACAUCGAUGUCAUGUCCACAUGUUAGUGGGUUAGCUGCACUCCUCAAGGCUGCACAUUCGGAUUGGAGCCCAGCAGCCAUUAGGUCUGCCCUCAUGACCACAGCAUAUACAACAUACAAAAAUGGGAAAACCAUACUAGAUGUGUCUACUGGGCAGCCAUCAACACCAUUUGAUUAUGGAGCUGGACAUGUAAAUCCAGUAGCAGCCCUUGAUCCUGGCCUUGUCUAUGAUGCCACAGUUGAGGACUAUCUAAGCUUCCUCUGUGCAUUAAACUAUAGUUCAUCCCAGAUUAAGCUUGCCACAAACAGAGACUUCACCUGCGACCCGAGCAAGAAAUACAGUCUGGGUGAUCUCAAUUAUCCAUCUUUCUCUGUUCCUCUCCAAACUGCUUCAGGGAAAGGAGGUGGUGCUGG